rnacentral:lncRNA from 1 species
CCUCUGCCGUCCCCUUCUCCUUGUGCCCUCAAUCUUUCCCAACAUCAGGGUCUUUUCCAGGGAGUCUUCUCUUCUCAUGAGGUGGCCAAAGUAUUGGAGCCUCAGCUUCACGAUCUGUCCUUCCAGUGAGCACUCAGGGCUGAUUUCCUUAAGAAUGGAUGCAUUUGAUCUUCUUGCAGUCCAUGGGACUCUCAAGAGUCUCCUCCAGCACCAUAAUUCAAAAGCAUCAAUUCUU